rnacentral:lncRNA from 1 species
AUUAUGGAUAAUGUGUCUCAAUUGAAAUUAUUUAAUUAAUAAAUAAAAAGAAAUAACACGUAGGUAAAAAAAUUACUUGAUGUACAUGCCACCCCAUAAAUUUUGUUGGUUGGAUUUAAUAAAAGAAUAAAUAUUAAAAUAAAAUAAAAAUAAAUUAUUAUCAUUAUUCAUGAGCUUGGCUACAUUUAAAGCGAGGUGGUGCAGGGUGGGGUCAAAUAAUAAUAUCUGAGUUUUAAGAGUGUGUAACACGUGUAUUAAAUAUUAAAUGAGCUAACUCUAUCAGUCAAUGUAUGGCUGGCAGAAGAGCUCUUUUCUGAUUAUACAGCUCAUUCCAUUCCACGAGGUGCACUUAGGCUUGUGGCCAAGCAAGUCUACCUCCAUAGAUUUUAUGUCAGAGUAUACUUUAUAAUUUAUUUAAUACAUAACUUGGUUUCAUAAGAGACAAACAUUACCAAUCAAUAUAUUCGAUGGGGCUUUUAUUACUUGUGGUGUCCUAGAUCAUGUAAACCUUAAUGUAACCAAAGAUAAGAAGAAUAAACUCUAAGGGCUUUCAAAUUAAUAUAUAAUUUUUCUAUUUCUUUUAUAAA